CUCCUUGGGCACAUCUCCCCCUCCGCAGCUUUACUUUUCCAUCUGUCAGCAGCACACGGCUGUACUCACUCUUCUACAUCUCCUUUUUGUUAGGUCCAAAAGCCAUCACUCAUCUCAGCCGGGGAACAUAUUGAUCUGGGGCAAUAUUGGUCCAUGUGCUACACACCAAUGGCAUACAUUUAAUCUUUCAAGAUCAUCAUUUAAAUGGCAAAAGACCGGGAAUAAAAUUUGAAUCAAUUGAUUAUUUUUCAAAA